UAAAUGCAUAAGAAAAACUGUAUUGGGUUAGUCACUUGAGUAAUUAAAUAAGCAAAAUCACGGCUCCCAGUUUAGUUAUAAAUCAUUUAAAGAACUACAUAUCCCAGUAGACUGUAAACGCGAUUGGAGAAUAUGGGGUGAGGGUGUCUUGUUUGGGGGGGCAACACACACACACGGACUACAAGCAGCAUUGUGAGAAUUACAUUGUUGCACAUUAUCCAAGGGCUUAGAGACGAUAAAAUAACGGACAGCAGAACAAAAUCCUAGUGCACAUCUGCAUCAGCAUACUACGUGGACGCUGGAAACGGCCACCGACAGAGAACUGAUGUGAAUAAUCAUAUGGAAACUGAAUGUUGUUCAUUUAGUGCAACAUCCACAACAGUCUGCAGAAAUUUACAUUGCAGAGAUUUUGAGGUGAAGUGGGUGUCUUAACAUUCCAAAACUGCCCCAGCUUUAAGGGUACAUCAUGAUGAAGUGUUAAGUAUCCUAAGAGGCAUUGAAAGCCAGCUGUGAGGUUUCGUUGCCAAGGCAACUCAGACACCCACUCUACCGUGCUUGGCUCACCCUUGCUGAGCAGCCACAUUGGUCAAGACCCACUAAAAGCGACCGAACAACAAGAGAGAGGGAAAGAACGAGUAAGCUAAGUUUGGAAGGUUGCCUGAAUCAAGAAGAGCAGCUGUAGACACCAGCAGCUGGAUUUCACUACCAUCCUGAUGCACAGCACCCUCUCAGACUGACGGGUUUUCUCUGGCAGCAAACUGGCAGAGAGAAAGAGAGCUCACACAGGUGGGCCAGUGAUUAUAGAUUAUAGAUUUGGAGAUUACAGGACAACAGCAGGUCAGGCUACAUUGCCUUGUUGAAAUCCGUGUUCUCCACCUCACCAAUUCUCUUAAGAGCUGUUAUUGUGAAAUUGGCGAGCGAGUUCUGCGACGCAACACAUUUACAAGCACUCGGCUGAUCACAUACUCCACUAGCUGUUAGACAGAUGCAGUGUUAGAAGAAAAUCGGAUGAAUCUUCAAGCUACUUUCAUUGAAGACACCGUAAAGAUCAAGGAACUAGCAUGGUGGCAUGUCUGUGCAUUUAAAGUAACUACUGCCGAAUGAAUGAGAUGGAAAUAGUUUUGAGAGUGUUGUAGAAUGUAAAACUAUUCAAGAUGUUUGCAAAAGAGCUUCAUUACAAGUCUGUGAGAAAACUCCACCCUUUUCCACCUCUGGCUGCAAAGUUCGACAUUGUGGCUUGCUAGACGGAGCAUACGGGCGCGAACAAACCGGAUUAGAGUGACAAACUUGGACUCAUAGAGGACUGUAAUGGAACAGACACAGAUGACAGCCUAGCUUGUCUGGCACUGAGACGUCAAAACCACAGAGGGGACUAUUCCUCCAACUGUCGCUGCUGGGAGAAUAGAGUCGAUCACACACACGCCUACAAGCAGACUGUUUUUUAGAGGUGAAAGACUGGUGUGUGUUUGAACCGUGGCAGUAUAGACAGUUCAAAAGCGUGAGAGAGAGAGCUGGAGGAGAUCACAUAGUGUAGGGGGAAGAGAGCGAAAAUAAAGAGCGCUAAAAAGGUGCCACAGCAGUGGUGACACAUUAAAAGAGAAGACUGACAGACUGGAGAUCAGCAGUGGCAGUUCACAGGUGGACAGUUUUGUGAGAUUCACACACUUUUGGGUUUAAAACCUGUAGCUCAGUACGCCGAGUAGUACUGAGUCCAGUUUGGGCACGGUGGCAGGAGCCGGUU
ensembl:lncRNA